GCUGUACGUGAUGACAACUGGCUCCCUCUGCUGAACUGUGGUUGAGGAAAAUGCCAUGUCACCCUUCUGACUACAGC
ensembl:snoRNA small nucleolar RNA, C/D box 100